rnacentral:rRNA from 1 species
CAGUAGCCGCGGUAAUACAGAGGUCUCAAGCGUUGUUCGGAUUCAUUGGGCGUAAAGGGUGCGUAGGUGGCGGUGUAAGUCUAACGUGAAAUCUCGGGGCUCAACCCGAAGCCUGCACGAGAAACUACCGGGCUUGAGUAUUGGAGAGGUGAGUGGAAUUUCCGGUGUAGCGGUGAAAUGCGUAGAUAUCGGAAGGAACACCUGUGGCGAAAGCGGCUCACCGGACAAUAACUGACGCUGAUGCACGAAAGCUAGGGGAGCAAACAGGAUUAGAUACCCGCGUAGUCCCUGUCUCUUAUAA